GACGGACGCUGGCGGCGUGCCUAACACAUGCAAGUCGAGCGAGGAACUUCGGUUCCUAGCUGCGGAUGGGUGAGUAACACGUGGGUAACCUGGCUCAUAGAGGGGGAUAGCCUUCCGAAAGGGAGAUUAAUACCGCAUAAGAAGUGAGAAUCGCAUGGUUCUAGCUUUAAAGGAGUAAUCCGCUAUGAGAUGGGCCCGCGGCGCAUUAGCUAGUUGGUGAGGUAACGGGUCACCAAGGCGACGAUGCGUAGCCGACCUGAGAGGGUGAUCGGCCACAUUGGAACUGAGACACGGUCCAGACUCCUACUGGAGGCAGCAGUGGGCAAUAUUGCACAAUGGGCGAAAGCCUGAUGCAGCAACGCCGAGUGAGUGAUGACGGCUUUCAGGUUGUAAAGCUCUGUCUUUGGGGACGAUAAUGACGGUACCCAAGGAGGAAACCACGGCUAACUACGUGCCAGCCGCCGCGGUAACAC
rnacentral:rRNA from 1 species